rnacentral:misc_RNA from 1 species
ACGAACAUGUCGUAAUAAUAAAUAAUUGCAAUAAUAUACAGUGCUGUUGUUGCCAUUCGUCAUCGUUCGGUCUUUCCUUUCUUCUCGUUUUUUUUUCUUUUUGUCUUUUGUCUUAUUCUCGUUCGUUCUUUCCUUUUAUUCGCAUAUUCUCGUCUCGCUUCCAAUUAUUUUUUGCACGCUGUUCCUGUUCGCUGUUCUACGGAUAACGCGAAGCAACGUGGAAAAAGACACUCUUCGGGCUCUCGUUCUCUACGGUAAACGCUACGCUUCGUCGGAAAAUACGAUUUCGCUUAAACGAAUUUCCGCGAAUGUUCACAGAGCAUCGACGCGCGCACACAUACAUACACACAUUUGCACAUAUAUGCAUACAGACACGCGCGCGCAUACACAUACACACAGAUAGAUGCACAAACUGCGCUCGAGCGUUCAUUGUCGUCCGUGUCUGUCUGUCUGGAUCCGCGUCACGCGACCAUGCGGCCACA